rnacentral:tRNA from 1 species
GGGGGGGUAGCUCACCCGGCUAGAGCGCCUGCCUUGCACGCAGGAGGUAGUGGGUUCAAGUCCCAUCCUCUCCACCA